rnacentral:rRNA from 1 species
GACGAACGCUGGCGGCGUGCUUAACACAUGCAAGUCGAACGGAAAGGCCCUGAUUGCAGGGUACUCGAGUGGCGAACGGGGGAGUAACACGUGGGUGAUCUGCCCUGCAAUUCGGGAUAAGGCUGGGAAACUGGGUCUAAUACUGGAUAGGAGCCAUUUUUAGUGUGAUGGUUGGAAAGUUUUUUCGGUGUAGGAUGAGCUCGCGGCCUAUCAGCUUGUUGGUGGGGUAAUGGCCUACCAAGGCGGCGACGGGUAGCCGGCCUGAGAGGGUGGACGGCCACAUUGAUACUGAGAUACUGCCCAUACGCCUCCACGAGACAGCAGGUGUGAAUAUUACACAAUGGGCGCAAGCCUGAUGCAGCGACUCCGCUUGGGGGAUGACGGCCUUCGGGUUGUAAACUCCUUUCGCUAGGGACGAAUCUUUUUGUAACGGUACCUAGAUAAGAAGCACCGGCUAACUACGUG